rnacentral:rRNA from 1 species
GGCGGGGCGAAGGCCCGCCGUGCCGACGACGGGUAGCCGGGCUGAGAGGCCGAUCGGCCACAUUGGGACUGAGACACGGCCCAGACUCCUACGGGAGGCAGCAGUGGGGAAUAUUGCGCAAUGGGGGGAACCCUGACGCAGCGACGCCGCGUGCGGGAAGGAGGCCUUCGGGUCGUAAACCGCUUUCAGCAGGGAAGAAGCCUGACGGUACCUGCAGAAGAAGCCCCGGCUAACUAC